UGGGAUCAUUUGCGGACCCGUACAGUACAGAUUUCCUUUAUGUCAGAGUCUUCCUCAAACACAAAUCCAAAAUUCCUCUAGCGUAGUGUGGAAGGAAAACAUGUGAUGCGUUUUCAAAGUGAAAAUGCCGUUAUUAAAUCUCUACGGCGUAUUGCAAUUGUGGACGGGAUCUGAGUAGCCAGUGUUUUAGAUAUAGAUUAAACUCGGAAAGGGCAAAAGCCAGGCGCGUUUUUAGAUUUGCUCAGCUCCAGAACAAAUGAAAACCACAAAAGACUUAAAGGAAGUCUAGUGGAGCAUGAAGACUCUAUUCUGAUCAAGAGAGCUUCAAAGGAACCUAGUCUUAAGGAAAUUCGUUUUUGUUGUUUUAGAUAUAGAUGAGUGUGCCAACGCAAUUCCACCUGAUUGUGACGUCAAUGCAGUGUGUAACAAUACCCAGGGAUCUUACGUCUGCACCUGCAAAGAGGGAUUUUAUAAAGAUGGACAAAACUGCACUAGGUUUGUAGCUGGAGAGUGUGCUUCACCGAUGGGAAUGGAAAAUGGUAACAUUUCAGACUCCGCAUUAAAGGCUUCUAGUAAGUGGAGCGCUGCUACUGGACCAAGCAAAGGAAGGGUCGACCAUCCCACCACCUACAUAGCCGAGAAGAGUAACAAAGAGCAGUGGAUCCAAGUGGAUUUUGGGAAGGUCGCCAAAGUAACCAAAAUUGG